rnacentral:rRNA from 1 species
AUGAUUUCCCUAGUAACGGCGAGUGAAGAGGAAAGAGCUCAAAGUUGGAAACUGUUUGGCUUAGCUAAACCGUAUUGUAAACUGUAGAAACAUUUUCCUGGCACACCAGAUUAAUAAGUCCUUUGGAACAAGGCAUCAUGGAAGGGUGAGAAUCCCGGUCUUUGAUCUGAGUAGUUGUCUUUUGUGAUAUGUUUUCAAAGAGUCAGGUUGGUUUGGGAAUGCAGCCUAAAUUGGGGUGGUAAAUCUCACCUAAAGCUAAAUAUUUGCGAGAGACCGGAUAGCGAACAAGUACCGUGAGGGAAAGAUGAAAAGAACUUUGAAAAGAGAGUUAAACAGUAUGUGAAAUUGUUAAAAGGGAACCGUUUGGAGCCAGACUGGUUUGCUUGUAAUCAACCUAGAAUUCGUUUUGGGUGCACUUGCAGGCUAUACCUGCCAACAACAGUUUGAUUUGGAGGAAAAAAUUAGUAGGAAUGUAGCCUCUCGAGGUGUUAUAGCCUACUAUCAUACUCUGGAUUGGACUGAGGAACGCAGCGAAUGCCUUUAGGCAAGAUUGCUGGGUGCUUUCGCUAAUAAAUGUUAGAAUUUCUGCUUCGGGUGGUGCUAAUGUUUAAAGGAGGAACACAUCUAGUAUAUUUUUUAUUCGCUUAGGUUGUUGGCUUAAUGACUCUAAAUGACCCGUCUUGAAACACGGACCAAGGAGUCCACCAUAAGUGCAAGUAUUUGAGUGACAAACUCAUAUGCGUAAGGAAACUGAUUGAUACGAAGUCUUUUGAUGGCAGUAUCACCCGGCGUCGACGUUUUAACUGAAAUGACCGAGGUAAAGCACUUAUGAUGGGACCCGAAAGAUGGUGAACUAUGCCUGAAUAGGGUGAAGCCAGAGGAAACUCUGGUGGAGGCUCGUAGCGAUUCUGACGUGCAAAUCGAUCGUCAAAUUUGGGUAUAGGGGCGAAAGACUAAUCGAACCAUCUAGUAGC